UACGUAGGGUGCAAGCGUUGUCCGGAAUUAUUGGGCGUAAAGAGCUCGUAGGCGGUUUGUCGCGUCUGCUGUGAAAACCCGAGGCUCAACCUCGGGCCUGCAGUGGGUACGGGCAGACUAGAGUGCGGUAGGGGAGAUUGGAAUUCCUGGUGUAGCGGUGGAAUGCGUAGAUAUAGGAAGGAACACCAGUGGCGAAGGCGACACUCUGGCUUGACACUGGCGCUGAGGUACGAAAGCGUGGGGAGCAAACAGGG
rnacentral:rRNA from 1 species